GUAGGUGGCAAGAGUUGUCCGGAAUUAUUGGGCGUAAAGCGCGCGCAGGUGGUUCUUUAAGUCUGAUGUGAAAGCCCCCGGGCUCAACCGGGGAGGGUCAUUGGAAACUGGGGAACUUGAGUGCAGGAGAGGAAAGUGGAAUUCCACGUGUAGCGGUGAAAUGCGUAGAUAUGUGGAGGAACACCAGUGGCGAAGGCGACUUUCUGGCCUGUAACUGACACUGAGGCGCGAAAGCGUGGGGAGCAAACAGGAUUAGAUACCCUGGUAGUCCACGCCGUAAACGAUGAGUGCUAAGUGUUGGGGGGUUUCCGCCCCUCAGUGCUGCAGCUAACGCAUUAAGCACUCCGCCUGGGGAGUACGGUCGCAAAGACUG
rnacentral:rRNA from 1 species